rnacentral:rRNA from 1 species
UACAGAGGGUGCAAGCGUUAAUCGGAAUUACUGGGCGUAAAGCGCGUGUAGGCGGCUAGAUAGGUCCGCUGUGAAAACUUGAGGCUCAACCUCAAGAGGUCGGUGGAAACCAUCUGGCUAGAGUCCGGAAGAGGAGAGUGGAAUUCCUGGUGUAGCGGUGAAAUGCGCAGAUAUCAGGAAGAACACCCGUGGCGAAGGCGGCUCUCUGGGACGGUACUGACGCUGAGACGCGAAAGCGUGGGGAGCGAACAGG